rnacentral:rRNA from 1 species
GAUGAACGCUGGCGGCGUGCCUAAUACAUGCAAGUCGAGCGAACAGGCGAGGAGCUUGCUCCUCUGACGUUAGCGGCGGACGGGUGAGUAACACGUGGAUAACCUACCUAUAAGACUGGGAUAACUUCGGGAAACCGGAGCUAAUACCGGAUAAUAUAUUGAACCGCAUGGUUCAAUAGUGAAAGACGGUUUUGCUGUCACUUAUAGAUGGAUCCGCGCCGCAUUAGCUAGUUGGUAAGGUAACGGCUUACCAAGGCAACGAUGCGUAGCCGACCUGAGAGGGUGAUCGGCCACACUGGAACUGGGACACGGUCCAGACUCCUACGGGAGGCAGCAGUAGGGAAUCUUCCGCAAUGGGCGAAAGCCUGACGGAGCAACGCCGCGUGAGUGAUGAAGGUCUUCGGAUCGUAAAACUCUGUUAUUAGGGAAGAACAAAUGUGUAAGUAACUAUGCACGUCUUGACGGUACCUAAUCAGAAAGCCACGGCUAACUACGUG